rfam:Salmo salar isolate Sally breed double haploid chromosome ssa07, whole genome shotgun sequence.
UGUAUUUACUACUGUAAGUCACUCUGGAUAAGAGCGUCUGUUAAAUGACUACUA